UGCAGACUACCUGUAUACAUAUACCUGACUCAGCACUGCAGACUACCUGUAGUGAAAUGGAGGACGGACAGAGCUGGAUGAUGACUACCGUUAAACUAGAAGAAGAAGAAAUAUUAUUGAGGGAAGUGAAGCUGAGUAUGAGUAAGACGGACAGUGAUGAUGAUGAUGAUGAUGAAGGCUGCAGGAGGAAAGCUGUGCUGGAGGAGCUUCGUCAUCCCGACCAUGUGUGGGACGGAAUGUUUGCUCCAAAGAUGGAGAAAAGCGGAGAAGAAGAAACGGAGGAGUUUUCAGAUGUGUGCUCUGUGAAGGAAGAGCAAUGCAUGUCUAAACGUUUUGAUGGAUCACAACAAGCUUUGGAUCUGAACAGUAUUCACACAGACACAGGUAACCACACCACAUCUUUUGGCCUUAGAUUAUUCACAAUGUUGACCACUUCCUUUGACAUCUCAAAGGAAACACCUUGGAUUGUGAAUGUGUUGUUUUAUAUAGUGGAAGUAUUUAUCAAUCACUGCUUUUUAAAACACAAUCUAAAUGGUUUGUGUUACUGGGUUAACAGGCUGGAAGCACCAGGUGAUACUUUUAUAUACAGUUUACAUUUUUUGUGGUUAGAAUUAUUAUUCAUUGAUUACAGUUGGUUUCAUAAUGUAUUAUUAUUAUUACUUAAAAUGUGGUUUAAAUAUUUAAAAUCUUCAGAAUUGUGUUGUUUCAUGAUGACCUUGUGGAUUCUUUCAUAAGUGGACGUGAAUGUUGAAACUUUUAUCUGUUUAACAGACUUGGUGUCAAAGUGGUUUUAAACAGGAAAACAAACAUGGAGGCCGUCAUUAAGAUCAUUGAAGAAAACAUUCCUCAGGUAACGGUCGUACGACAAUCAGCAACAAUCUGUGUAUCUUCAUAUACUGUGGAUACUUUAAAAGUUAGAUCAUCAAAGUGAAGUCCAGACCUAAUGAAAGCAAUGUUUUCAAUGUCGUGCAGUCAUGAACGAUGGAGACAACAGGACUCUACGGGUGAUGCUGUUGGGUUGAGGUCGAGAGGGGGCGGGGCUCAUAAUCAGUGGAAAGCCAAAGACGUAAAUAGCGUCCGCCUCCACUCACAGUCUGGUGUUGGCCUAAAACAAGCCUCUUGUUUUCAUUGAAGUGGAGAGUUUGGCUAAUAUGUUAAACUGCAGAUGUAAAUGUGAUUGGAUGGAAGGUUGAAGCUCCGCCUUUGUCUGAAAAAUGAUCAGGAAAAUCCCUUGAAAAUCCUGUGAUGGUUGUGAUCAGUACACAAAGCUCAGUCUAAGGGAGAGCAGUGAAGACUGUAAUCAUUCUUAGGCUACAUUUACUCUCAUUAAUCUAGUUUAUGAAAAGAUCAUUGCUUCAAAAAAACAUUUUUUAUAAAAAAAACUCUGUUUUGUUCUUGAGUGACGGUGACUCGUUGAUUGUCCUGCAUAUUGACCAGAGUGGGAGGAGUUAAGACCAGACUGGUGGUAACCACCUCUCUCCCAGCAGCGUAUCACUUCUCUCUUUAGAAAAAACCAUUUGUUUGGCAGUUUUCAGCUCAAACUGGUCGACCGUGUUUGUGUAUGUGUUGCUUUGCCACGUCUAAUCUGUGUGUAGAGGGUGAGUUUACCUGCUGGUAAGUACACUCCAGGGUGGGCGUUCAGGUGAACGUGGGACAUGGUCAGACAUGUAUGUUAGCGUAUACUCAACAAUAAGGAAGCUGAAAUCCUUCCUGAUGCUGGUCAUAUUGAAACAG
rnacentral:lncRNA from 1 species